rnacentral:rRNA from 1 species
AUUGAACGCUGGCGGCAGGCCUAACACAUGCAAGUCGAAUGGUAACAGGAAACAGCUUGCUGUUUCGCUGACGAGUGGCGGACGGGUGAGUAAUGUCUGGGAAACUGCCUGAUGGAGGGGGAUAACUACUGGAAACGGUAGCUAAUACCGCAUAACGUCGCAAGACCAAAGAGGGGGACCUUCGGGCCUCUUGCCAUCAGAUGUGCCCAGAUGGGAUUAGCUAGUAGGUGGGGUAACGGCUCACCUAGGCGACGAUCCCAGCUGGUCUGAGAGGAUGACCAGCCACACUGGAACUGAGACACGGUCCAGACCCCUACGGGAGGCAGCAGUGGGGAAUAUUGCACAAUGGGCGCAAGCCUGAUGCAGCCAUGCCGCGUGUAUGAAGAAGGCCUUCGGGUUGUAAAGUACUUUCAGCGGGGAGGAAGGGAGUAAAGUUAAUACCUUUGCUCAUUGACGUUACCCGCAGAAGAAGCACCGGCUAACUCCGUG